AUGCAAUAGCCUGCGUGCAGUCCCAGACUCCAAAGGAAGUAGUCCCUACUUCCUUUGGAGUCUGGGACUGCACGCAGGCUA